GACGAACGCUGGCGGCGUGCUUAACACAUGCAAGUCGAACGAUGAAGCCUUAGCUUGCUUUGGUGGAUUAGUGGCGAACGGGUGAGUAACACGUGAGCAACGUGCCCAGGACUCUGGAAUAACCGCGGGAAACCGUGGCUAAUACCGGAUAGGUGCCGAGGCCGCAUGGUCUUCGGUUGGAAAGUUUUUGCGGUUCUGGAUCGGCUCACGGCCUAUCAGCUUGUUGGUGGGGUAAUGGCCUACCAAGGCGACGACGGGUAGCCGGCCUGAGAGGGUGACCGGCCAAACUGGGACUGAGACACGGCCCAGACUCCUACGGGAGGCAGCAGUGGGGAAUAUUGCACAAUGGGCGCAAGCCUGAUGCAGCAACGCCGCGUGGGGGAUGACGGCCUUCGGGUUGUAAACCUCUUUUAGUAGGGAAGAAGCGCAAGUGACGGUACCUGCAGAAAAAGCACCGGCUAACUACGUG
rnacentral:rRNA from 1 species